CCUACGUGUGGCUGCAGUGGGGAAUAUUGCACAAUGGGGGAAACCCUGAUGCAGCGCCGCCGCGUGAGUGAAGAAGUAUUUCGGUAUGUCAAGCUCUAUCAGCAGGGAAGAGAAAGGACGGUACGUGACUAAGAAGCACCGGCUAACUACGUGCCAGCAGCCGCGGUAAUACGUAGGGGGCAAGCGUUAUCCGGAUUUACUGGGGGUAAAGGGAGCGUAGACGGUAGAGCAAGUCUGAAGUGAAAGCACAGGGCGUAACCCUGGGACUGCUUUGGAAACUGUUAGACUAGUGUGCUGGAGAGGUAAGUGGAAUUCCUAGUGUAGCGGUGAAAUGCGUAGAUAUUAGGAGGAACACCAGUGGCGAAGGCGGCUUACUGGACAGUAACUGACGUUGAGGCUCGAAAGCGUGGGGAGCAAACAGGAUUAGAUACCCCGGUAGUC
rnacentral:rRNA from 1 species